rnacentral:lncRNA from 1 species
UUCGUUGAAAUAUUGAUACAUCUGCUCCUUUCAACUAGGAGCCCUUAACAUGUCAUGAAUGGAGCUUUCACGGGAGUGUUUUCCUAAUAAGAUGCCAGAUAAACAGAUUGUUUUCCUUCAUAUACAUUUUUAAUAUGAGGCUGAUUGGGAGUCGGAACUCCUAUAAUCUUGCCGUUACCAGACUACUUUCAUUAGCUGAGGACUGAGCAAGAAGCACUGACAGGAGCCCAGACCUUGGGUGUGGCUGUGAGGAGGCCAAGGGUGUGGUUCCAGGCCAGGGCCACACUUAGGACCUGUUUAGUGUGUCUAAAGUGACUUCACCUUCCUAAACCUUGGUUUCAUCGCCUGGUCAGACUGCCCAGAACAACCUCCAACUUCACAAUGUAUUCAAUGGGACGAUACAUGUGAAGCCAUUAGCACAGUCUGCAAUGCAGUAUAUUAUCAAUAAAUGUCACCAUACAGAGUUUAUCAAAGGUUUGUUUUAUAAGCUAGUUACAAAAUGACCAAUACUGGAUGAUUUUACCCAUAUGAGGUACCUAGAAUAGUCAGAUUCAUAGAAACUGAAAGUAGAAUGGUGGCUGUCAGCGGCGGAGGCAGAGGGAGUAGAGUGAAUGUUUUGUUUUGUUUAAGGAUUUUAUUUAUUUAUUCAUGAGAGAUACACACAGAGACACAGAGACAUAGGCAGAGGGAGAAACAGGCUUCCUGCGGGGAGCCCACGCAGGACUCGAUCCUGGGAUCCCAGGAUCACGACCCGAGCCAAAGGCAGAAGCUCAACCACUGAGCCACCCAGACCACCUGAGAGUGAGUCUUUAAUAGGACAGAGUUUCAGUUUACAAAGAUGAAAAUUUUCAUCUGGAGAUGGAUGGUGGUGAUGGUUGCACAACACUGUGAGUGUAUUCAAUGCCAUUGAGCUGUGCACUUAAAAAUGGUUAAAAUGGCAAAUUGUACCCGCACAUAUGUUAUAUACAUUUUACCACAAAAAAAUUCAUCAAGCCUUUUAUGCCCCAGUAAGAUAAUUUGGAAUUUAAUACAUGUUAGACUCCUAGGAGCUAUAAAGAUGUGUUUUUAGGUGAUAACUACCCCCCCCUCUUUCUUUCUGCCAUCAAAGGUACUGGUGGCAUAGCAGAAGCAAGUGUGAACACUGAUCCAUCACUUGUUUUUGACAAAAAUGAUAGUGGGAGUGGCAGCGGAGUUCGGAUACGUGUGUUACUGGGAAAGUCAUUCAUGAAGAGCUGAGGGGAAAGAAGGAAGAUGAGGAAGAAACACAAGUGGCAGAGGGGGUGAAGGAGACACAAGACAGAUAAUCACAGGCCUGGAACUCUGAUAAGAGGUCACCCAGGAUAUCUUCCUGCUGCAGGCCAAACACCCCUAGCUGUUUUCCUGACUCCAAAAGAUCUCUGGGAAACAGACACUUUGUUUUCUUUUCUUAAAGAUUUUAUUUAUUUAUUCUAGUGAGAGCAUGAGCAGUGGGGGGUGGCGGUAGAGGGAAAGGGAGAGGGAGAAACAGACUUCCCACUGAGCGGGGAGUGGGGGGGUCAGGGGGACUCGAUCCUGGGACACCCCUAUCAUGACUGAACCACAGGUAGAUGCUUAACCGACUGAGCCACCCGGGUGCCCCUACUCAUUGUUUUCAACAGGAAUCCAGUCUAGGCUCAUGCAACACUAAGCACAGAAGGUGCUCCCAGAAGAAUAAACUCAAAAGUCAAUCCCCUAUGCAGAUAAAUGUACUGAGUAGAAUCAAAUGGUAAAAACCAGGUCCUAAGAAGAGGGCAUAGACUGCCCUGUCAAUGGUGGGAAUGUGAUAAAUAAUGUGCAUUAAAUGCACAAUCUUUAUCACAGUCAAGAAAUAACUGAAUACUAAAUAAAUAAAUGUGAGUGAUCUGUGUAGAGGGUUAUUCUUCCUUCUGAUCAAUAGAUUGGCCUUUUCUGGGACGCCUGGGUGGCUCAGCAGUUGACUGCCUGCCUUUGGCCCAAGGUGUGAUCCUGGAGUCCUAGGAUCAAGUCCCACAUGGGGCUCCCCGCAGGGAGCCUGCUUCUCCUCCCUCUGCCUGUGUCUCGGCCUCUCUCUGUGUCUUUUGUGAAUGAAUAAAUAAAAUAUUAAAAAAAAAAAAAGAUUGGCCUUUUCUUUAUUCUGUUAAAACUUGCCUUUUCAGAGGCAGGCUGUAGGAAUGAGGUCGCGCCCAAUGGACGGGAUUAAUUAAAAUAAAGUCCUAGGGCGCCACCUACUGGUCGGUGGGAGGGGGCUGUGUGCGCAGGAGUAGGAACGUCUCUAAAAUCAGGGCUGGUAAAUUGUGUUCUUCCAAGUGUUAAAAUGUGUAGUUUGGGCUGCCUGGCUGGCUCAGUCAGAAGAGCCUGCAACUCUUGAUCUCGGGGUUGUGAAUUCAAGCUCCACGUUGAGUGUAGAGGUUACAUAUAAAAAUUACUUCUCCCUACGGUAUGCAGUGGAGUGGUACUUCAGUAGAGGGGUUUGCCUUCUAGCCAAGGAGGGUCUUUGACUCAAGCUUGGCUAGUAAACUUCUUGAUCUGGAACUUUGUACCUGGACUGGAUUCACGCAAGGAUGAAAAAGAGAGUGGGAACUCAUUAGUCUCACAAUACCAGCCUCUGACAAAAGUGACAACCAGUUUCCAUUUCCUAGAUCCCUGGAGCUGCAUUGGCCCUUUUUCUCAUGCAAACCUUGGUCUCUGGCCGUUCUGUUAGAACUGUGAACCAUCCAGUCUCCUUUCUGUAAAUCCUGUUGCUGGGAACCCAAAUCUGCCUCCAGUGCUCACAGCCAAGACCCUUGGCACACACACCUGCACUGAUUUGCAGUCUCCUCUCCCAAAUUGAGUAUUUCAUCUGCUUUGCCUUCUCUAGAAAAUCGUCUCUGUUUUGGUUGAAUGAUUCAUCUUCAUUUGUAUAUUAUUCCAUUGUGUUAACAGGAACUGAGGAAGUAGAGUCUCAGGCAUUUGGUAAGCCCUCUUGAAGUACUUGACCAAAGAUAUUGGUGAUCAGGGACGCCUGGGUGGCUCAGCCAUUGAGCGGCUGCCUUUGGCUCAGGGCGGGAUUCUGGUCUGGGGGUUGAGUCCUGCACUGGGCUCCCUGCAGGGAGCCUGCUUUUCCCUCUGCCUAUGUCAUUGCCUCUCUUUCUGUGUCUCUCAUGAGUAAAUAAAUAAAUAAAAUCUUAAAAAAAAAAAAGAUGUUGGCGAUCAUAGGGAGGAGAAGAAAAGCAAGUUAACGUUAAUAGGAAUGUUCUCCUUUUCCUUCUGCUGAACUCAUUUUUGUCAGACCCACAUAUAUUCUGAAUGUGACUUCACUGGAGGGAACCAAAUAAAUUCAUUUAUACACAGAAUCACUGACACAGUACUCCCCUUGCUGAUGUAAUAUCAAAGGAAGCAAAGAAUACAAUUUCCUUGAAAACCAAUAUUCUCUUAUUCGUGAGCUUUAUAAAAGUGGCAUCAUAUUCGGUAUAGACUUCCAGUUUCUCCUUUCUUUUAAAAUAAAGUCAACAUCAUGCUUCUAAGAUUCACUCAUGGUGUUACAUGGAUUUUAAGUUCUUUCAUUUCAAUGAUGUGUGAGGUGAAUAUACAAUUAUUACUAUUUACUCAUUUUCACACUGAUGAUAUUUAAAGCUUUUUGGGUUGGAUCGGAUAAUGGGUUCCCAGGUGUUCAUUAAUACUCUUUUACUUUAACAUAACUUUUGUAAAUGCCAAAUGUUAUAUUUAAAAGGCAAUAUUCUC